rnacentral:rRNA from 1 species
GAUGAACGCUGGCGGCGUGCCUAAUACAUGCAAGUCGAGCGAACGGACGAUAAGCUUGCUUCUCUGAUGUUAGCGGCGGACGGGUGAGUAACACGUGGAUAACCUACCUAUAAGACUGGGAUAACUUCGGGAAACCGGAGCUAAUACCGGAUAAUAUUUUGAACCGCAUGGUUCAAAAGUGAAAGACGGUCUUGCUGUCACUUAUAGAUGGAUCCGCGCUGCAUUAGCUAGUUGGUAAGGUAACGGCUUACCAAGGAAACGAUGCAUAGCCGACCUGAGAGGGUGAUCGGCCACACUGGAACUGAGACACGGUCCAGACUCCUACGGGAGGCAGCAGUAGGGAAUCUUCCGCAAUGGGCGAAAGCCUGACGGAGCAACGCCGCGUGAGUGAUGAAGGUCUUCGGAUCGUAAAACUCUGUUAUUAGGGAAGAACAUAUGUGUAAGUAACUGUGCACAUCUUGACGGUACCUAAUCAGAAAGCCACGGCUAACUACGUG